rnacentral:rRNA from 1 species
AUUGAACGCUGGCGGCAGGCCUAACAAAUGCAAGUCGAACGAGUGGCGGACGGGUGAGUAAUGUCUGGGAAACUGCCUGAUGGAGGGGGAUAACUACUGGAAACGGUAGCUAAUACCGCAUACCAUCAGAUGUGCCCAGAUGGGAUUAGCUUGUUGGUGGGGUAACGGCUCACCAGGGCGACCAUCCCAAGCUGGUCUGAGAGGAUGACAAGCAACAAUGGAACUGAGACACGGGCCAAACACCUACGGGAGGCAGCAGUGGGGAAGAUUGCACAAGGGGCGCAAGACUGAUGCAGCCAUGCCGCGUGUAUGAAGAAGGCCUUCGGGUUGUAAAGUACUGUAAGCGGGGAGGCGUUACCAGCAGAAGAAGCACCGGCUAACUCCGUGCCAGCAGCCGCGGUAAUAC